CGCAGUUCGCUGCACUGCGUUCGACUGAUGCGGCAAGUCGGUAGCCUGGGUCUGCAAGGCUACGGCGCAAUUUGCCGCGCUGACCCGCCCCGUUCGCCCCGCAUCCUCGUGCGAACAGCCACCGCCAACGCGGUGGUCGAUGC
rnacentral:ncRNA from 1 species